AGACCCGAAACCCGGUGAUCUAGCCAUGGGCAGGUUGAAGGUUGGGUAACACUAACUGGAGGACCGAACCGACUAAUGUUGAAAAAUUAGCGGAUGACCUGUGGCUGGGGGUGAAAGGCCAAUCAAACCGGGAGAUAGCUGGUUCUCCCCGAAAGCUAUUUAGGUAGCGCCUCGUGAAUUCAUCUCCGGGGGUAGAGCACUGUUUCGGCUAGGGGGCCAUCCCGGCUUACCAACCCGAUGCAAACUGCGAAUACCGGAGAAUGUUAUCACGGGAGACACACGGCGGGUGCUAACGUCCGUCGUGAAGAGGGAAACAACCCAGACCGCCAGCUAAGGUCCCAAAGUCAUGGUUAAGUGGGAAACGAUGUGGGAAGGCCCAGACAGCCAGGAUGUUGGCUUAGAAGCAGCCAUCAUUUAAAGAAAGCGUAAUAGCUCACUGGUCGAGUCGGCCUGCGCGGAAGAUGUAACGGGGCUAAACCAUGCACCGAAGCUGCGGCAGCGACACUGUGUGUUGUUGGGUAGGGGAGCGUUCUGUAAGCCUGUGAAGGUGGCCUGUGAGGGUUGCUGGAGGUAUCAGAAGUGCGAAUGCUGACAUAAGUAACGAUAAAGCGGGUGAAAAGCCCGCUCGCCGGAAGACCAAGGGUUCCUGUCCAACGUUAAUCGGGGCAGGGUGAGUCGACCCCUAAGGCGAGGCCGAAAGGCGUAGUCGAUGGGAAACGGGUUAAUAUUCCCGUACUUGGUGUUACUGCGAAGGGGGGACGGAGAAGGCUAUGUUGGCCGGGCGACGGUUGUCCCGGUUUAAGCGUGUAGGUGUGUGUUCCAGGUAAAUCCGGUUCACUUUAACACUGAGGCGUGACGACGAGGCACUACGGUGCUGAAGCAACAAAUGCCCUGCUUCCAGGAAAAGCCUCUAAGCAUCAGGUAACAUCAAAUCGUACCCCAAACCGACACAGGUGGUCAGGUAGAGAAUACCAAGGCGCUUGA
rnacentral:rRNA from 1 species